CUCCUCUGCCUUCCGUUUUCCCUCUCUAUGCGUACUAUUUUCUUUCCGGCAAGCUGGCUACCACAGAGAGCGCUUUAUGCAGUUCUUUCCUCCCGGGGAUGUAAUAUCAUCCCCUUGUUUCAUUUUCUAUGCUUCCUCGUACAUCUCCUCAAAAUCGGGCUCGCAGCUUCUCGGGAUUUCUUUUGCGGCAAGGAGCGGUGCUCUGCCUUGGAACAACAUAACCCUUUGACCUGGGCUGCGGCGCUACUUUUUUUUAAACACUAGAGCAUCAAGUAUCCUUUGUGCGUGGCUGUCCCUUCAGGUAGUGUGUGUGAAGCAUGUGGGAACCGGCAGACGAGGUGGAACAAGCAACGAUAGAUGGUGACUUUUCGCAUCUUAUUCAAAGAGAACCGAUUACAAUUAAAUAAAGGGGGAAAGAGGAAACCAGAACAUUUAAAGGGAAAUAUCACAGCCAAAAAUACUAGGUUCCCUAAUAAUGGGUCAUAAUAUUCCAUGCUGCCUGAGAAUUAGGAUUUAUCUGUUGUGUGUUGAGCCCAUCCACAAAAUGGCAGUCCUGGAAGACUACUAGAGACCCCCAGCCGUCUCCAAGGUUACAACAAGGUUACGCUCCUGAGAACUGUUCGUAAUCUGGACUAUACGUAAAUUGGAAGUAACAAAAACCAUGUGUGGGAGAGUAUCACAGAAACAGCUGUGGUGGUAGAGCGAGUAGGCACAGGAAGAGCGGCUGCCAGCCUGCCUCACUGACUCAGAGACCUCAAUGUAUUCCAAGCAAAUGAAAUCCUUGGCUUUCCAAAUAGAGGCAUAAUGUCUAAAUAUGCUGCCUGACAUGCUAAGUGUUCCCAGCAUUUCUUGCCUUGUCAUUUAGGAGGUUUAAACAGGAAAAGGGCACAGGACUCUCUCUAAUCUGUAUUUAGAGGCCAAACACUUGGUUUUAGGUG